rfam:Brevibacillus laterosporus LMG 15441, complete genome.
AAAGAGAAUAUUGUCAUGCCGCAGACAGAGGGUGCAAUGAACCGAAUGGUAAGUUGCUUAAUUUCCUUCCGAGGUGUGUACUAUUAAUAGAUUAGCUCUGUUGAUAUGUGCCCUCGCGAACGUCUGCGAGGGCAUUUUCAAUUUACAUU